AACGUAGGUACCGAGCGUUAUCCGGAUUUACUGGGCGUAAAGCGCGUUCAGGCGGUUUGACAAGUCGGGCAUGAAAUCUCUCGGCUCAACCGGGAGAGGUUGUCCGAUACUGCUGGACUUGAGGGCAGUAGAGGGUGGUGGAAUUCCGGGUGUAGUGGUGAAAUGCGUAGAUAUCCGGAGGAACACCAGUGGCGAAAGCGGACCACCGUCGGACCUGUACCUGACGCUAACACGCGAAAGCUAGGGGAGCGAACGGG
rnacentral:rRNA from 1 species